CCAGCCGCCGUGGAAGAAGAAAGGUAAAGACCAAAACCUAUAUCCCACUUCCAUCCACCAUAAUUUCUUCAUCCGACCUCCAAUCGCCGCACCGUUUGCGGCUACGUGUCCAGCGCGUCGAGCUCUACAAUUCUAUCGAAAUAGUUUUUGGAUCCAAUUAACUUGAGGAAUACGUUCACUCUUGUUUAUACAAAGUUCGGGUAAGGUGAUGUGUUGCAAUUGCAUUGGAACUUGAUAUUGUGGACAUUGGAAGCCUUGGAUUGAUAUCAAGUCUUGGUGAUCUUAUGAAUUGAGGAGCUGUGUGUGUAGCUUAAGUGUUGCUUUGGACAGUAAGUAAAAGUGGCCAAUGUAUGGUUUAGAUUUUGCGCAUUUAAUAUGUAAGGUUCUGUGAAAACUUAGAUUAGAGAACUAUAGGAUAAGUUGAAGUGGUUAAAUAUGUUAAAUGAUUAGUCUUUAUGAUAUUGAUGGAUAAAUUGAUGUUGGACAUGUGUUGAGGAAUAUGGUGAAUUUAUGAUGUCUUCUUGGUGUUUGGUUAUAGUUGAGCAAUUGACAAUAUGAGUUGAAUAUAUAUAUAUAUAUAUAUAAUGAUG